CGUAAUAACCACAUUAACCGAACGCCCAGCCCUACCCGAAGCGGCAGCUAGCGCAUCGGGCAGACCGGCAGCCGAACCCUAGCGUUAGCGAGCACCACGGCGGCGCGCUCACCACUGGGGGCUCAACGGCUCAGCCUCGCUGCUUCGCCAGUUCGCCACGCCUCCGGCGCCGCUUCGCCGUCCGGCGCUCAACCUCGCUGCAUCGCCACGCCUCCGGCGCCGUUCCGCCGUCAGGCGAGCGGCCUGCUCAGCUACUCGCCCGUCCGACGCCGUACCCACCGGCCCUCGCAGGUUGCAGCUUCCUGCUUCCCGGCGUUCUCCGUCCCCGCGCAAGCACAACCUAGUAAAGCUUCAGAUUUGAAGGAACUUACAAUGCUGCUGAGAACUGUAAAGCUGCUUGGGCUGUGGUAGUUAGUGCUAAGCUGCGAUCUUGUGAAGUUGGCAACUGGUAUUGUGGCAAUGCUCGUGCCCCAUGGCCAUUGGAGGUUGUGACGAACUGACGCUGUGUUCUUCUAUUCUCUCUGUGAUUCCUGUUAUCUGAACACUCAUGGUGAGACAUAUUAUGUUAUGUUCUGUAGCAUAAUAUGGAAUGCUAUACUGCUAGUGCUACGGUCCAAAGAUGACUUGUCUUUGACAUCAUAAGUUGUGUUGCCUAGCGGUGGAGUGCAAUUACAAGAAGCUUCAUUGUGUCUAUCAAGUGGGUUUUGAGUGCUCGUGACUGGCGUAUACAUGUAUGUAGAACAAAAUGUCCAGCAACAGUGGCGGUGGUGCGAAGGAGAAGGGUCCCCGAAUUGCUACGCCGCUUGUGCCACCUCCCUUAGUCCAGAAUUCUAUGCCUACUGCUUCAGAUGGCCCUACCACUGAUCUGAGAUUAGCACAACAGUCCUGGCCUGGACAUGUAGUCCUGCGUCCAUGCACAUCUUGGCCUCCUCAUGUGAAUCCUGCGUAUCCACAACAAAAUGGGGAAGCAGUGGCGGAUGUGGUGGCAGCCGAUGUUCUUCCUGUGAUUAAUAGCUGCAAUGAGAAGAUGUUGCCGGAAGUAAAUAUGCUAUUUGAUGACGAGAAUGAUGCUUAUGAGUUCUACAAUAUUUAUGCGGAGAAGGUGGGCUUCUUUGUUCGGAGAUCAACACUCUGGACAACAUCGAAGAACAUCAUCACUAGGAGGACAUUUGUUUGCUCAAGAGAAGGUUUUCGGGAGAAGAAGAAGGGUGCCAAGGAAUCAAAAUGCCCACGGCCUGAAACAAGAAUUGGUUGCCCAGCAAGCAUGACCAUUAGGCUUACUCCCAAUGGCAAGUACCGUUUGACAGAAUUUGUACCAAACCAUAACCAUCAGUUGGCAACAGCUUCUACGAUUCAUAUGUUGAAAGCAAAGAAAAUUAGGCGUAAAGCACGGGCUGUGAGAGAAAAUCUGGUGGAUGAUACUGUGGUAACGCCAGAGUUUGAAAAUGAAGAUGAGGCAUAUGAAUUUUACAGCAUGUAUGCAGGGAAAAUUGGAUUUAACGUAAGAAGGGCAAGCAUGACAGUAAAUGCUGAAAAUGUUAUCACUAGAAGGAUGUUUGUUUGUUCAAAAGAAGGGUUCCGUGAGAAGAAAAGAGGAGCAAAUAGAGUAAAGAAGCCUCGUCCAGAGACACGAACUGGUUGCCCAGCAUGUAUGGUCAUCAGACUUGCAUCUAACGGCAAGUAUAAUGUCACUGAGUUUGUCACCUUCCACAAUCACGGUCUUGGUGCCGCAGCAGCUUCUGAUCUUGUGAUGACAUCACUAACGGCUGGAAGUUAUCAAGAUUGUGGAGUAGAUUUGUAUGAUGAAGCACUAGACGAUUGUUACGGCAAGCAAAAUCUUAUCAAAGACGAUGCCACUUCAAACUGUCUAGAAGGUAGAAGUUGGAAAAGGUACAAGUGUAAAGUUCCUCACUAUGGUGAUGUAGGUGCCACUCUGGAGUACCUACAAAAGAUGCAACAUGACAACCCUUCAUUCUUCUAUGCAGUAAAAUCUGAUGAAGAUGGGAACUUGACAAAUUUUCUUUGGGCAGAUUCCAAGUCCAUCAUGGAUUUUACCCACUUUGGUGAUGUAGUAUGCCUUGAUUCAGGGUAUGAAGUGCAAGGCUAUGGUAGGCCGAUUGCUUUGUUUACAGGUCUGAAUCAUCAUAGGCAAACUGUCAUCUUUGGUACUGCAUUACUUUAUGAUGAGAGCUUUGAAGCUUUCAGAUGGCUAUUUGAUACUUUUAAGAUGGCAAUGAAUAGUACCCAUCCCAAGACAUUGUUAACUGAUAGAUCGGCUGUGAUAAGUGAAGCUGUUGCAGUAAGUUGGCCUGAGACAGCACAUCGUUUUUGUGUUUGGCAAAUUUACCAAAAUGCUCUUCAACAGUUAAGUCAAGCAUUCCAUGGGUCAAGAACUUUAGAAUACAACUUCAAGAGAUGCCUAUUUGAUUGUGAAGAUGAGGCUGAGUUUUUGAUGGCAUGGAGAGAAAUGUUGGAAAAUCAUGACCUAAAAGAUAAUCAAUGGCUAGCAGAUCUUCUUGCUGUUAAGGAGAAAUGGGCAUUACCAUAUGGUCGUGAGGCAUUUUACGCUGAUAUGAAAAGCGUCCAACAGAAGGACAACUUGAGUAGUGAGCUUAAAAUAUAUUUAUCCCUAGAAUUCGACCUUUUGAGUUUCUUUGUGCAGUUUGAAAAAUUAUUAUGUGAUCGUCGGUCUGCAGAACUGCAACUUGAUGUGAGUGCCAGUCAGAGCACAAAGAAGCCACCUUCGAUGCGAAUAUUAAGGCAAGCUGCAAAUGUGUAUACACCUGCUGCCUAUAGAAUGUUUGAAAGAGAGUUUGAAUUGUACAUGGAUUGCAUGCUAUAUAACUGUGGCGAGAUGGGCACAAUCUGUGAGUAUAGGAUAACUGUCGAGGACAAUCCAAAAGAUCAUUUUGUUAAGUAUGAUUCGCUCAAUUCCAUGUCACAUUGUAGUUGCAAGAGGUUUGAGUUUGUAGGCAUUCCAUGUCGCCAUAUGCUGAAGGUACUUGACACUAGGAAUAUCAAGGACAUUCCUCCUCAGUACAUCUUGAAAAGGUGGAGGAAAGAUGCCAGAUCAGGAUCUUCAAAUGGUGGUUACGCGUACUCUUUUGAUGGUGAUCCUCAGACAAAGCGUCACACUUUAUUGUGUCGAAUAUUCAGUAUAGCAGCGGCUAGAGCUGCAACCUCUGCCGAAUCAUUUGCGUACAUGGAAAGCCAAUCGAGCGUACUUAUGGGUCAAGUGGAACAAUUUCUUGAAAACAGCCCCCCUGACAUAGCUGCUAUUAUUGGUGCUAAUUGUGACCGUACUCAAAUUCCAGUUGAAAGUAUGAUCACAGACGGUCUGCACAAUCAUGCUAACUUUAUCAAUGGCUCUGCUGAUGAUUCUCUAACCUUUCCCUUCACAAUGGGUGCUGGUACGUUGGAUUACCGCUAGACAGGUGCUGGAUGAUGGUAUAUCUGGCUGCCAUACCAAUUUGGUGGUGCGUAGAUGAGCUGGGAAUAAUAAUGACGGGCUUAUCGACUGUGCAGAUCAUUUUUAAUAGAUUUCUUAAGACUGCUGGAACUUUUCCAGUCCAUUUCAUAGCUUACGACUUGUCCAGUUCCACCUACCGCCCCAUGGCGCCUCAGGCCGAUUAAAUAUCAAGGUCGCCUGUUCGACCACCAAGCGGCAAUGACUUCCCAGUAGAUGAUGAUGAAACGGGUGAUGCGUUUUGUGUGUGUUGUGCCUGUGUUGAUGGUGCAUGCCGCGCCUGUAGAUGUACAGUAUGGAGGAAUGAAUGUUCAUGUCAUCUCUACACCAAGGUGAUAUAUUCUGUUUACACUGGUCAAGUCCACUGGCUGUCCAUAUAAUUUUGGUGAAUAUGAAUCAAGAUAAAUACAAAAAAGGUGAUCGCAAAUUUUCAGGCCUUGUUUGGGCCAGGGGUAC
rnacentral:rRNA from 1 species